UGCGGAAGGAUCAUUAUUGAAAUAAACCUGAUGAGUUGCUGCUGGUUCUCUAGGGAGCAUGUGCACACUUGUCGUCUUUAUAUUUCCACCUUGUGCACCUUUUGUAGACCUGGAUAUCUCUCUGAAUGCACACAAGCAUUUGGGUUUGAGGGGUUGACUUUUUGGUCUCCCUUUAUAUUUCCAGGCCUAUGUUUCUUUCAUAUACCCCACUUGUGUUAUAGAAUGUAAUAAAUGGGCCUUUGUGCCUGUAAAGCUAUACAACUUUCAGCAACGGAUCUCUUGGCUCUCGCAUCGAUGAAGAACGCAGCGAAAUGCGAUAAGUAAUGUGAAUUGCAGAAUUCAGUGAAUCAUCGAAUCUUUGAACGCACCUUGCGCUCCUUGGUAUUCCGAGGAGCAUGCCUGUUUGAGUGUCAUUAAUAUAUCAACCUCCUCAACUUGUGUUGAGUGUUGGAUGUGGGGGUUCUUUCUUUGCUGGCUUCACGGUCAGCUCCCCUGAAAUGCAUUAGCGGAACAACCUGUUCACUGUUCAUUGGCGUGAUAACUAUCUACGCUGCUUNUUGACAGUGAAGCAAGUUCAGCUUCUAACAGUCCAUUAAAUUGGACAAAUUUUUAUUAAUGUGACCUCAAAUCAGGUAGGACUACCCGCUGAACUUAAGCAUAUCAAUANGCGGAAGGAAAAGAAACUAACAAGGAUUCCCCUAGUAACUGCGAGUGAAGCGGGACAAGCUCAAAUUUAAAAUCUGUCAGCCUUUGGCUGUCCGAGUGGUAAUCUAGAGAAGUGUAAUCCGCGCUGAC
rnacentral:rRNA from 1 species